GACGAACGCUGGCGGCGUGCUUAACACAUGCAAGUCGAACGGAAAGGCCCUGCUUUUGUGGGGUGCUCGAGUGGCGAACGGGUGAGUAACACGUGAGUAACCUGCCCUUGACUUUGGGAUAACUUCAGGAAACUGGGGCUAAUACCGGAUAGGAGCUCCUGCUGCAUGGUGGGGGUUGGAAAGUUUCGGCGGUUAGGGAUGGACUCGCGGCUUAUCAGCUUGUUGGUGGGGUAGUGGCUUACCAAGGCUUUGACGGGUAGCCGGCCUGAGAGGGAGACCGGCCACAUUGGGACUGAGAUACGGCCCAGACUCCUACGGGAGGCAGCAGUGGGGAAUAUUGCACAAUGGGCGGAAGCCUGAUGCAGCAACGCCGCGUGCGGGAUGACGGCCUUCGGGUUGUAAACCGCUUUCGCCUGUGACGAAGCGUGAGUGACGGUAAUGGGUAAAGAAGCACCGGCUAACUACGUG
rnacentral:rRNA from 1 species